rnacentral:rRNA from 1 species
AUGGCAGCAGCUCAGGCCCCAACCAUGGAGACCCCCACCGGCGCGCAGCUGGUCCAGGCGCAGGCGGACCUGUGGCGCCACAGCCUCACCUACCUCACGUCCAUGGCACUCCGGUGCGCCAUCCAGCUCGGCGUCCCCACCGCGAUCCACCGCCUCGGCGGCGCCGCGUCGCCGCCGGACCUGGCGGCCGCGCUGUCGCUCCCUCCGUCCAAGGCGCCGUUCCUCGGCCGCCUCCUGCGACUUCUGGCCACGUCCAACGUCCUCGCGGCGUCUGCCGGCGGCUACGCCCUCACCCCGCUCUCGUACCUCCUCGUCGACGGCCAGGACGGGCACGCGGCCUUCGCGCUGGGCGUGGCCUCGCGGUACCACGUGGAGGCGUCCCUGGGGCUGGCCGACUGGUUCAGGAAGGACGUCGACGUCGCCGUCACGGACCCACCGGGGGUGCCGUCGCCGUUCGAGGACGCGCACGGCGCGAUGCUCUUCGAGGAGAGCAUGGCGCUGCUCGACCCCGAGACCGACAAGAUGUUCCACGAGGGCCUGGCCGCCCACGAUCACACGGGGAUGAGCAUGCUCCUGCGGGAGUGCCGCGACCUGUUCGGCAGCCUCCGGUCGCUCACCGACUGCUGCGGUGGCGACGGGACGACGGCCAGGGCCGUCGUCGAGGCCUUCCCGCACGUCAAGUGCACCGUGCUGGACCUUCCGCGGAAGAUCGAGAAGGCCCCACGCGAUGGGGUCGUCGACUACGUCGCGGGUGACCUGUUCCAUUCCAUCCCACCGGCCCAAGCCGUGAUGCUCAAGCUCGUCCUACACUGGUGGUGUGACGAGGAUUGCAUCAAGAUUCUAGCAGAGUGCAAAAAGUCCAUUCCUUCCCGAGAAGAGGGAGGAAAAGUGAUCGUCAUUGACAUAGUGGUUGGCCAUUCUUGCGAGGCAACGUACGAGCCUCAGGUGCUGGCGGAUAUGCUCAUGCUGCUGGUCACCAGAGGACGGCAGCGGGACGAAGACGACUGGAGCGCUAUCUUCACAAAAGCUGGGUUCAGCGGAUACAAGAUUGUCAAGAAAUUCGGAGCUCGAAGUGUCAUCGAGGUCUACCCAUAA